AAAACAAUGCAGAUCACAGAUUGAGAAUUGAGACAUUAAUUAAUUACACCUUCCCUGGGCUUAAAAGUGCAACCUUUGAUAUCUUUGGCCACCUGAGGGUGCGGAACAAACUGUAAACAAAACAUGAAAACAACAUUUCACCUAAUAAAGUCAUAAUAUAUCUAGAUUGUCUUGUGAAACAAAAUCCCCUUGCCUAUGUGCGGUCGGCUCGCAGGGCGACAGCUCCAGCAGGGGACCCAAACCUCCAUUCCUCGGGCCAUAUCUACCUACUCUUAUUGGGGGAUCCCAAUGUAAUUUCCAGGCCAGUCCGUCUUCACAUUGUACCUUUUAUGUAAUGUGCUAUCAAAACUAAGAUGAAUAUUGUAUCAUUAACAAUGUUGGAAUCUUGAAUCCAUGCCACCCACAUCUAUAGCCUUGAAUGUGUCAGUCAUAAUAUGUUAGAAUGUGAUCUUGAGAGGCUUCUAAAGUCCAAAUCUAUUUAUAUUCACUCUGUGCCUGUAUGGAAAGGAAAAUUGAAGAGUCAGCUACUGAAACCACACUUGAUAUGCAGGAUAAACCCCUACAUCUGCAACUUGUUAAUCAUAUAACACCAAGAAAGCAAUGCCAUGCAAUGAGGUCAAUCAUCAAUCUCAAAUAAGAGAAUAAUACUCUGUGAUCUUUUAUUUUAUUUAGUACACAGCUGCUGGUGGAGCCGCUGGUGGCUGGGAGAGUGUGAAACUUUGCACUGAUUCGAACAAGACUUUUAGCAGAUAUCUGAACACGGCACCUUUUCUGCUGUUUUUUAAAGAUAUAACAUGGACCAUAACUGCCAUCAACGUAAUAAUGUUGUUGAUGUCGUUACACUGUGUGUGUGUGUCUGUGUGUGUGUGGAGAAUAGAUUAAGAGGAAACAGAAGCAGUUGCAGUUGUGCGUCGGUUGACUUGAACAUUAACUUGUAUGCAGACUGACACAGGUCGCCUCUUGAGGAGGACUGCCACAUGUUCAGCUUUAACCAGCCAGAAUAUGAAAUGUCAUGCUGCUUUUUCCAAUGCAAAAGUACCUCAAUUCACAAUACGCAAGUGUGAAUAACAGCACUCCAAUAUCUGCUUCUUUAAACCAUACAAAGAGGGUCACUCAGGCAACGUCUGUUUUCCACACAAGUUCCAGCGGCAGCUGCAAAGUUGAGAUACCUGGUGGGCAUAUUGCGGCGAGAGGGAA
ensembl:lncRNA